CAGGUAGAUAGGCUGCAGGUGGAAGCCCGGUAACGGGUGGAGCUGAGCAGUACUAAUCGGCCGAGAGCCUCGGCCUU
rfam:Desulfurobacterium sp. K6013 contig35_length_16380_cov_1817.88, whole genome shotgun sequence.